CCUUUUUUAUCUUACCAGUAGUCAUAUGCUUGUCUCAAAGAUUAAGCCAUACAUGUGUAAGUAUGAACAAAUUCAGACUGUGAAACUGCGAAUGGAUCCUUACAUCAGUUAUAGUUUGUUCGAUCGUAUCUACUACUCGGAUAACUGUAGUAAUUCUACAGCAAAUACAGGCAACAAACCCCAAAUUUUGGAAAAGAUGCAUUUAUUAUAUUAAAGUUGAUGCGAGAUUUGCCCAUUGCUGCAAUGAUUAAUGAUAACUCGAAUGAUUGCAUGACCAUCAUGCCGAUGAGAGAGCCUGAGAAAUAGAGACCAUAUACAAGGAAAGCAGUAGGCUCACAAAUUACCCAAUCUUAACACGGGCAAGUUGUGAAAAUAAAUAACAAUAUCGGGCUUAAUGAGUCUGGUAAUUGGGAUGAGUACAAUUUAAAUCAAUUAACGAGGAUGCAUUUGAGGAAAAUUCUAGUGCCAACAACUAUGGUAAUUCAAGCUAUAAUACCAUAUAUUUAGAUUAUUGUAGUUAAAAAUCUCAUAGUAAUACUUUGGGAUAGGCCACCAUGUCUGCCUAUGGUUUGCACCGGUUGUCUCAUCCCUUUUGUCGGCAAUUCAUUCCUAGCCUUAAUUGUCCAGGUCGUGCCUCCGGCUCUGUUACUAUGAAGAAAUUAAAGUACUCAAAUCAAUCCUACGCUCUGUAGACAUUAUCUUUGAUAACAUUAUAUUAUUUUGGUCCUACUACGUUAUCCUUCAGGAUAAGAGUAAUGAUUAACAGUGACAGUCGGGGGCAUUCGUAUUUCAUAGUCAGAAGUGAAAUUCUUAGAUUUGUGAAAGAUGAACAACUGCAAAAACAUUUUCCGAGGAUGUUUUCAUUUAUCUAGAACAAAAUUUAGGGGCUAAAACACAAUAAGAUAUCUUCCUAGUCACAACAAUAAAUGAUGUCCACCAAGGAUAGACAGAUGUUGCUUUUAGGACUCCGUCGGUACCUUAUGAGAAAUUAUUUUUUUGGGGGUUGUGGGGAGAGUAUGGUCUCAAGGAUGAAACUUAAAGGAAUUGAUGAAAGGGAACAGCAGGAGUGGAUCCUUUGGCUUAAUAUGACUCAACACGGGAAAACUUACCAUGUCUAGACAUAGUAAGGAUUGACAGAUUGAGAGCUCUUUCUUAAUUCUAUGGGUGUUGGUGUUUGGCCGUUCUUAGUUGGAGGGGCUAUUUUACAGCUUAAUAUUGUUAACUAAUAAGACGUCAGCCUGCUAACUAUCUAUGCAUAGGUAUCCCUUCGCGGCCAGCUUCUUAAUGGGACUACGACCUUUUAGGGGACGAAAGUUUGAGAUAAUAACAGGUCUGUGAUACCCAGAGAUGAUCUAGGUUAUGCAUAUGCUACACGGAUAUAUUCAACGAGUUUAUAGCCUUCACCAAAGGUAUGGGUAAUCUUUCAAAUUUCAUCAUGAUGGGGAUCGAUCAUUGCAAUUGUUGCGUUUUAAUAAGGAAUUCCAAGCAAGUGCGAGUCAUUAGCUCAUGUUAACUAUGUCCUGUCCCUCCUUACACACUGCCCAUCGUCUCUACCGAUUAAAUGAUCCAGUAAAAUAUUUGUGUUGCGGUGAUGUGGGUGGUUCACUGCCUGCGACAUCGGAUGAAGUCCAUUUAACCUUAUAUUUUAUAGAAAGGAGAAGUCGUUACAAGGUUUUUAGAGAUGAACCUGUGGAAG
rnacentral:rRNA from 1 species